CAGUAUGCGGCUGGAUCACCUCCNNAGAGUUUGAUCCUGGCUCAGGACGAACGCUGGCGGCGUGCUUAACACAUGCAAGUCGAACGAUGAAGCCUUUCGGGGUGGAUUAGUGGCGAACGGGUGAGUAACACGUGGGCAAUCUGCCCUUCACUCUGGGACAAGCCCUGGAAACGGGGUCUAAUACCGGAUAACACUCUGUCCCGCAUGGGACGGGGUUAAAAGCUCCGGCGGUGAAGGAUGAGCCCGCGGCCUAUCAGCUUGUUGGUGGGGUGAUGGCCUACCAAGGCGACGACGGGUAGCCGGCCUGAGAGGGCGACCGGCCACACUGGGACUGAGACACGGCCCAGACUCCUACGGGAGGCAGCAGUGGGGAAUAUUGCACAAUGGGCGAAAGCCUGAUGCAGCGACGCCGCGUGAGGGAUGACGGCCUUCGGGUUGUAAACCUNCUUUCAGCAGGGAAGAAGCGAAAGUG
rnacentral:rRNA from 1 species